GAUGAACGCUGGCGGCGUGCCUAAUACAUGCAAGUCGAACGCAUCACUCCGGUGAUGAGUGGCGAACGGGUGAGUAAUACAUAAGUAACCUAGCCUCUGGAGGGGGAUAACUAUUGGAAACGAUAGCUAAGACCGCAUAGGCAUAGGCAUCGCAUGAUGAAUAUGUUGAAUAUCCCACGGGAUAGCGAGAGGAUGGACUUAUGGCGCAUUAGAUGGUUGGUGAGGUAGAGGGUCACCAAGGCGACGAUGCGUAGCCGACCUGAGAGGGUGGACGGCCACACUGGGACUGAGACACGGCCCAGACUCCUACGGGAGGCAGCAGUAGGGAAUUUUCGGCAAUGGGCGAAAGCCUGACCGAGCAACGCCGCGUGAGGGAGGAAGUACUUCGGUAUGUAAACCUCUGUUAUAAAGGAAGAACGGCAUAUGUAGGGAAUGACAUAUGAGUGACGGUACUUUAUGAGGAAGCCACGGCUAACUACGUGCCAGCCGCCGCCGUAACAC
rnacentral:rRNA from 1 species